rnacentral:rRNA from 1 species
AGCGAACGCUGGCGGCAUGCCUAACACAUGCAAGUCGCACGGGACGGCUUCGGCCGGUUGGUGUCGGAGGGGUGAGGAACGCGUAGGGAUCUGUCCGCAGCUGGGGGAUAACUUUGGGAAACUGUGGCUAAGACCGCAUGAGGCGCCGAUGUGAGAGCCGGUGUCAAAGGCGCGCAUCGCGAGUUGUGUGUGGCCGGGGUGUGAGCGUGCGUCCGAUUAUCUGGUUGGCGGGGGAGUGGCCCACCAAGGCGCCGCUCGGUGUCUGGUAUGAGAGGGUGAUCCGCCACACUGGGAGUGAGACACAGCCCGGAAUGCUAGGGAAGGGAGGAGUGGGUAAUAUUGGACAAUGGGGGCAAGCCUGAUAACGCAAUGCGGGGUGGGUGAAGAAGGUCGUCGGAUUGUGAAGCCGUUUGGGCCGGGACGAUGGUGACGGUACCCGGAGAAGAAGCCCCGGCUAACUUCGUG